GCACUUGUGGCCGAGAGGUUAAGGCAAUGGACUCAUAAUCCAUCUCAUCGCUGGUUCGAGCCCAGCCAGGUGCA
rfam:Vigna angularis cultivar Jingnong 6 C3108255_1, whole genome shotgun sequence.